UACGGGGGGGGCAAGCGUUGUUCGGAAUUACUGGGCGUAAAGGGCUCGUAGGCGGCCAACUAAGUCAGACGUGAAAUCCCUCGGCUUAACCGGGGAACUGCGUCUGAUACUGGAUGGCUUGGGUGUGGGAGAGGGAUGCGGAAUUCCAGGUGUAGCGGUGAAAUGCGUAGAUAUCUGGAGGAACACCGGUGGCGAAGGCGGCAUCCUGGACCAUGACUGACGCUGAUGAGCGAAAGCCAGGGGAGCAAACGGG
rnacentral:rRNA from 1 species